rnacentral:rRNA from 1 species
UACCAGCACCCCGAGUGGUCGGGACGAUUAUUGGGCCUAAAGCAUCCGUAGCCGGUCAUGCAAGUCUUCCGUUAAAUCCAACUGCUUAACAGGUGGGCUGCGGAAGAUACUAUAGAGCUAGGAGGCGGGAGAGGCAAGCGGUACUCGAUGGGUAGGGGUAAAAUCCGUUGAUCCAUUGAAGACCACCAGUGGCGAAGGCGGCUUGCCAGAACGCGCUCGACGGUGAGGGAUGAAAGCUGGGGGAGCAAACCGG